AAUAUUGAACAGAACAAGAGUUUUCAAAUUUGUUAGAUCUCCUGGAACACCCUGUACAUAGUCUAAACACUGCUAUAUGUAUAGAAGAGUAUCCCCUAUGCAAGUAUACACAUAUAUAUUAUACAUGUGAGGGGGUAUACGUGUAUAUGUGUAUUAUAUUUGUGUUUCAAAAUAUAUUUAUUAUUAUAUAUAUUGGCCCGGGUGUAGAAAACGGUUUUAGCGUCAUAUUGUUUUCAUGGGUUGUCAGAGACCGCAUAACUAUAACGAUAUUUUAUGUUUCCUAGCUCCUGUAACCAUACUAUCAUCCUCGAUGCAUACGAUAGUAUCAAUAUACUGAAAUAUUAUAAUCAGGUAAACAAAAAUAUCGGGAAAUUUCUCUUCAAAAUAUAAAAUAUAUUAUACACGUUUUCGGCAUUAAAACAGUUUUGGGUGAGAAAGAAUAAGAAGAAGAGUUUUAAAAAUACAAUAAUGAAAUCUUCUGUAAAAUUUGAAAAAUCAAAACGUUAAUAAUAUAUACAUAAUUUUAUUGAAGACACGUAAAAUAAUUAUUAUUAUCUAUCUACUUUGAACGAAUAAACGUAUUAGUUUCCGUAUUAGUAUAUAUGUAUCCGCAAACACCAUAUCUAUUAUAAUAUUAUUAUUAUCAGCCCAAAAACUCGAUCAAAACGUACUUCCCAUA